rnacentral:lncRNA from 1 species
AAAAAUAUAUUCCAAUUUCCAUUAGACAUCAUAAAGUUGAAAUAUCCAGGGAGAUGAUGCAUCCGUGCUCUAUAGCAUUGGAAAUUCAACUGCAAAAAAUGGUAUUAUGAUCUCGUGAUUUUUUCAACAGUUUAUCAAAAUUGAGUUCAAUCAAUCUCCCAAGCACUACUUGAGAACCUUUCAUCAUUGACUUAUCUUUUGGUUUACCAAUAUGUUGUGGUAAGAA